UUUGGUAGAAUAGUAUUCUACCAAAACGCAACAAAAAAAAAAAAAAAAAAUGACUGGUCGCGUGACUAGAAAUUUAUACGGUGGUCACCACGAGAUAUACCGUCUAUGUGAAAGUCUCUGCAGAACCUUGCGACUUGUUGUGGUCUCUCUCUCAAUAUUGUAAAUUGUUGAAUCGAGGAGGAGAGUUUGUUGGCUGACAUGAUCUCGCAGUUCUUUGUUUUGUCGCAGAGAGGCGAUAACAUCGUGUUUCGUGAUUUAAUUUGAAGAUUCUUGGU
rnacentral:lncRNA from 1 species